GCCUACGGGGGGCAGCAGUGGGGAAUAUUGCACAAUGGGGGAAACCCUGAUGCAGCGACGCCGCGUGAGUGAAGAAGUAUUUCGGUAUGUAAAGCUCUAUCAGCAGGAACGAGACAAGACGGUACCUGACUAAGAAGCCCCGGCUAACUACGUGCCAGCAGCCGCGGUAAUACGGAGGAUGCGAGCGUUAUCCGGAUUUAUUGGGUUUAAAGGGUGCGUAGGCGGAAUAUCAAGUCAGCGGUAAAAAUUCGGGGCUCAACCCCGUCGUGCCGUUGAAACUGAUGUUCUUGAGUGGGCGAGAAGUA
rnacentral:rRNA from 1 species